UUCUUGGUCUGGACAUAGACUAUAUAUUACAUGGACUGCCAACUCUACGCACUAAGCCUAUAUUUUUCAAUAAACAAGUCCCGUUCACGGAGGCGUCCUUGGUUGCGUGGUAAAUUGACUUCCGGUAGAUUUUUUUUUACGUAUAAAGAAACCAUUCUCGAAGAUUUUUACCACCACUUUUACAGCAAAUCAUGAAUGGAAACUGAAUUGUUAAAGAAGAUGUUACAGAGGAGCAUACUACUUCCACAAACCUGAUUUGAUUGUCACUAACUUUCAAAUUGAAAGGGAUCUACUACAACUGCUCAUGAAUUUCGAGAUUUUACAGCUAAUAGAGGAACAAAUUUUAUCUGCUUCCACUUAGCCAAACAGCAUGGAAAUAUGCUAUUGUAAUGAGUAGAAGAUAUUUGUCAUUUAGAGUAUCAUGCAACAGCUAAUUAUCAGUCCACACAUUUCAAGAUGAGGAAAAGAACAGUAUAAGCUCCAUUCAUUGAUGCAUUAUUUAUACAAAAAUGUAUAGUCAACCCAGUCAUCACUCCAUUUUUUUAUGAAGCCAGUUACAGUUACCAUGAAGGGAUGAAAUUUCAGAUAAUAUUCUGUUUAUUUCAUGAAAUGAGAAUAGGCCUACAUCAGAAAUUGAGAUGGUCAUCUUCAGUAUUUAAUGUUUCAUCUAAAAAUGAUAAUUAUAUUAAUACAUAUUUGAUGUACAAACAAAUGAAAACCAUUCAAACACUUUUUUUUGUGAAGUAUAGAUGAUUAAACUUGUAAG